rnacentral:rRNA from 1 species
GAGUUUGAUCAUGGCUCAGAUUGAACGCUGGCGGCAUGCCUUACACAUGCAGGUCGAACGGUAACGCGGGGCAACCUGGCGACGAGUGGCGAACGGGUGAGUAAUGCAUCGGAACGUGCCCAGUAGUGGGGGAUAGCCCGGCGAAAGCCGGAUUAAUACCGCAUACGCCCGAGAGGGGAAAGCGGGGGACCGCAAGGCCUCGCGCGAUUGGGUUGGCCGAUGUCCGAUUAGCUUGUUGGUGAGGUAAAGGCUUACCAAGGCGAUGAUCGGUAGCUGGUCUGAGAGGAUGAUCAGCCACACUGGGACUGAGACACGGCCCAGACUCCUACGGGAGGCAGCAGUGGGGAAUUUUGGACAAUGGGGGCAACCCUGAUCCAGCCAUUCCGCGUGAGUGAAGAAGGCCUUCGGGUUGUAAAGCUCUUUUGUCCGGAGCGAAAAGGUGUCGGUGAAUAUCCGACGCUACUGACGGUACCGGAAGAAUAAGCACCGGCUAACUACGUGCCAGCAGCCGCGGUAAUACGUAGGGUGCGAGCGUUAAUCGGAAUUACUGGGCGUAAAGCGUGCGCAGGCGGUUUUGUAAGCCAGAUGUGAAAUCCCCGGGCUUAACCUGGGAAUGGCAUUUGGGACUGCAAGGCUUGAGUAUGGCAGAGGGGACUAGAAUUCCUGGUGUAGCAGUGAAAUGCGU